rnacentral:rRNA from 1 species
CCUACGGGAGGCAGCAGUGGGGAAUAUUGCACAAUGGGGGAAACCCUGAUGCAGCGACGCCGCGUGAGUGAAGAAGUAAUUCGUUACGUAAAGCUCUAUCAGCAGGGAAGAAACACUGACCUUACGGUCAGCAGACGGUACCUGAGUAAGAAGCCCCGGCUCACUACGUGCCAGCAGCCGCGGUAAUACGUAGGGGGCAAGCGUUAUCCGGAUUUACUGGGUGUAAAGGGAGCGUAGACGGUGCGCCAAGUCUGGGGUGAAAUGCCGCAGCUUAACUGCGGAACUGCUUUGGAAACUGGCGAACUAGAGUGCGGGAGGGGUAAGCGGAAUUCCUAGGGUAGCGGUGAAAUGCGUAGAUAUUAGGAGGAACACCGGUGGCGAAGGCGGCUUACUGGACCGUAACUGACGUUGAGGCUCGAAAGCGUGGGGAGCAAACAGGAUUAGAUACCCUGGUAGUC